ACUUUCCUUCAUCUCUCCCGCAUCUCUAAUUUAAUCACUGCUCCCGCAUCUCUCUUUCUUCUUUCCUUCACACUUUCUCAAACAAACCCUAGCCACCGCCGCCACGAGUGUACCACACUGACCACAGCCACCACCGUCACCGCCACCCUUCAGGCCUCAAUAAAAAAUCUAACUCUUCAGGGUUACGAAUUCUGAGAAACCUUCUUCCUUUCGAAGCAAUUCGACUUCCUCCUCGGCCCAGCUGUAUUCGGAUCCAUCAACGACUUCCUCCCUUCAGACGGAUCAGUUGUAUUCGGCGCAUCUUAACUAGGGCUGCAAGCCGUCCUUCUUCCUUUCAGACGGAUCGGCGGCUAACGACUGCUAACGACUGGGAUUUGGGAUUUCAUUUGGGUCGUGCGGCGUUCGGCUAAUUCCUAUGUUGCAUCUGGGAUUUCAUUUGGGUCGCAGCUUCACUUGUGGUUCAAUAUGUUUCUGUUGCUGAUCAGAGGAAGAGAAGAAGUUCGUGACUUCAAUGAUUGUGCUUAGUUUGUACUUUGUAGUUCAAUAUGUUUUUGUAGCUUUUGGUUGUUAUUUACUUAUUUUCUGAUAUUGAACUUAGUGACCGAGAAUGUUGAACUUGUAUGAAGUGCUGGGCAUUUAAAUUCUAGACUUUUAUGUGGCAUGUAUUUCUAAAUUUAUGAUUGUAUUUAGUGAAAAAUUUGUAGGCCUUGUUUGAUUAUGAUCAUGUGAAAAAUUAUGGUCAAUUGUAGCCAUGAAUGGUAAGUUAUGAUUAUGCUCAAAA